AUGCGAAGAAAUAUGCCCAGGUAUUAUUUUUACAUUGAAACUACUUUCCACUAGAAGACUUAAUUCAAACAAUGCACUGUGUAUUAUGAAUAUAUAUAUAUAUAUAUAUAUAAGAAAAAUUCAGAAGUCGGAGUAGGAGUGGAUUGCUGAGUUGAAAUUUUAGAAUUAUAUAGUCUACUCAUAAAGUCAUUGCCCUGUUAAAUUUGGUACAAUUUCAAAGUCAUUUGAGGGUUAAGCAUUUGGUAGAACUAAGCAUUUCAUUAGGAGUGACUUAAAAUCUCAGGAAUAGAUUUUGUUCGCUUCAAAAAGGGGAAAUUUGUGGCUUCUUAUUUUAUUUGAAUAGUUUAUGAUUUUAAUUGUCUUAAAUGCGAAGACGCAUAUAUGGUCAUGCAACCGACGAUGAAAUUCGCCCUUUGAAUGAAGAGAAAGCUAUUCAGGCCGCUGUAGACCUUAUUGGGGAACUUUUCAUCUUCUCGGUGACAUUUAUUUGCCUGUUUGCAUAUUAUAACAAUGCGUGAUGUUACUACUACUACAAAUUUUACUAAAUAAAAUUGAUGUAUCAACUUUAUACACAAAACAAAAAAUUAAUUUAUUAUGUUGUUAAUGUGGCACCAAUCACAUUCAUUGCCACGUCAAUUUGUAGGUCUUUUGUAGUAAAAUUGUUAGAUAUUAUAGCAGUUUCAUAUAAGAAUUCCCCUAACUCUUUUGCUCUCAUAUAGAAACAAAGGGUAAUAGUAGAACUUGACCACUGAAGUAUGUUUUUGGGCUUGUGCUAUUCUGUAUACUUUUGUAUAUUUAUGCAUGUGUCAUUUUAUAUACAAGCCAAGGUAUAUUUCUUAUAAUAAAUGUAUUUGCACCUUUGUCUGCUGCUGUAUCAUGACCAACUAGCCUAUAGAAAGUUAUAAAAAAUGGUACCAUGCGUUACUGUUACUCAAUGUCUUGAAAUGCAGCUAGUAUGAAGCGCAGUAAAGUCUUAGAAUGAUUUAAGAAAUGCCUUGAAUCAAACUAACUAAUAUUGUGAUCAGAUGUGGAUGAUGAUAUGGGUUUGUGGAAUAUAAUGUGAGGAGUGAAUCUCAAUGGGCCAAUUCUAAAACAAUGAAAGGAUUUGGGGUUNCCCCCCCCCCCCCCCCUCCUCUUUACCUAGCCAAAAAACAAAGAGAAAGGAUUUGUUUGGGGAAAUUUGAUUCCUGUAUAUAAAAGUAACACAAUUUAAAUCUGACAACACUCUAUAUGGUUGACUUCAAAUUUAUUUGAAAUAUGAUCCUUCCUUUCCUUUCUUUGUAUCACAUUGGAAGGUGAGUUUUGGGCAUGAGGAUGACAAAAGUGAAGGGACUUGUGUUCACAGGAUGCAUAGAGAAUUUCACUACUCAGAUUUAGGACUUGAUCAUUAGGUGUUUGGGUAACACAAAUAUAUAGCUGAAACACAAGGCCUGUGUUACAUUGCUAUGAUUUUAAUAUUUUUUCUCUAUAUUAAAAAAAAAAAGAAUGAGAAGAAGCUUUUGGAAAGUUUAGGAAAGAAAAUUAUUUCAAAAAUUAGCUUUUCUCUUUAUUUUUUUAAAAAUUGUUUUUGGAAUAAGAACACAAUGGUAGCCAGUAAUAUGGGUCUACAGAGAAGAAUGGCAAAGUGGAACUUGUGAUACAUGAACAUUGUUUUGGAUUGCAUUCUAGAUUCUCUGUUUUGUUUUUAUUUUUUGUGUACUGGUGUGACACUUGUCAAAUUUCUUUGUUUUUAAUAGAUAUCAUUACAGGGCAAGAUGGAAUUCAGCUUAUGUCUCCACUCUGCACUGUGAAAUUCUCAGUUCUUGUGAACAGAUCCCCAACUGGCAUUUUCAAUAUUACCGGUUAUUCACACUUCUCUAUGGAUCUAUCAUCAUCUUGUGGGGAUGUACAAUUGAGCUAAGCUAUCUUAGUUGUCUGCGUCUUUGCUUUGAGGCUCCCAUAUUAAAAAUGAAAAUGGGUUCAAGUGACUUUGUUUUGGUGGGAGAGUACUGGGUGGUCUUCAAGGCUAUAAGGUAGGUUCUCUUCUCAUGCCAAAAUAAGUUUGUGGUUGCUGCUAGAAACUAUGUUUUAGGCAGUUUGGAAUGUGCUGAUUGAACAAAUGUGGACAUUGUAAUUGGCAGAAAUUAUAUUUGACAAAAGGAUAUGCUGGAUUGCUCUUUUUAGAGUACUUUAGAGUUUGCCUAUUUUCCUUAUCUCUUCAGUGUGCUGAUCCAUGUGGCAAAUAUGUAAGAUAAACUGAAGUUCAAUUUCCAUUUUUUUUUUAUUGGUUCAUUUGAUAAUUAUAUUUUGUUCCUUUCUAAGAAUCAUAUCAAAUAGUUGUAAAAUCGAAUUUUUUAAAAAGAAAGAAGAUUUUCUCCAAUAGUUUUCCUUUCAUUAGCUACUGCUUUGUUCACAUGUAUUUUUUUUUCAUUUUAGUUAGUCAGUGAUUAAAAAUUCUUUUACCAAUUAGGUGUCGCAUUGAAUAGCCCUGUCCCAGCAAGUGCAUUCUCAAAUGAUUUGUUAAAUGAAUUGUUAUCCCCCCAUAAAUAAAUUUUAUCAUUCCUGUUGGUGCAUAAAAUAAGGCCAUUCCUGUGCUGAUGGUGAAUGUCCAAGAAUAAAUCUGACAUAAAGAAUGGAUCAUUACCUCUUUGGAUUGUAACAAUACCAAAUGCUUAAUGGGAAUAAAGUUAGUGAUGGAUUCAUGGUCAAGGCUUGGAUUGAAAUGGUCAAGCUUUUCAUGGGAAAUUUGGUCUCACCAUCACAAAGAUGCUCAGCAUAGAUACAAACAUUUGAGGAAGCAAUGUAAUUAUACAAAGGUUCUUCUUGUACAUAAUGGGUUGUCUUUAGAUUGGGAGAAAUAGUAACCUCUGAGGUUAUGUCUAGGAUUCUUAUACCUAGGUGAAUUUCCAUUUAUCCAUUCUAGUAUCUUUUGACAAUUAUUGGCUCUAUUUUGUUGCUUAUAUAUAAAAUAUCAGUCAUAUAGAAAUAAAUAUGUGCCAAGCUGUUUGAAAUGAUUUGUUAUAGAUGGCAAAGAGGUUACUAACAGAGAAAACAUUUUUGUAUGCAGUGCAUAUUUCAACAUUGAAGACCCAGAUCUGAUGAUUGGUAUGUUUGUUCAGCAUUGAGUGCUUUCAAAAUAAUUCAAUAAUGUAUUGUCGGCUUAUAUUGUUGUAUUUUCAUGGUAGUGUUUCUUGACCUACAAUAUUAGAAUACUUUGAGUUGCAUUAUCUCAGUUUUUGUCAUCCAAAAUCUGAUGUUGUAGAACCCACAAUUUUUAGUCUAAAUUAACUUUAUUUGUGCUUGAUUUAUGGAAAUCCAACUUCUGAUAAAGGGUAUAACCAAGCGAGUCAAGAUAUCAGCUUUAAUGGUGUUUGUGUGAGUUUCUUUUGUCAGGCCUUCCACCCUGCCAAAAAAAAUUAAUUAUUUGGAUUGUAGUCAAAAAAAUUAAUUAGAUGUGACAAGUGGGUCUGACUUUGAUAUGGGAUUUUGCUUUAACUAUUGGACAUGGGUUUAUUUUGGGUUCCUCAUCACUGGCCUAUCCGUCGGUGAACUAUGAUUCCAAUUUCAAUUCAUAGCCACAGUGAAAGAAAAUUACAACCUCUUGAUCAAAUUUCAAGGAAACAAGGCAAGGUACUGUUGUUACUUUGAAACUGUUUUCCUUUGCAUCAUCUUUGUUUGAUUUCUUUUGAGUUGUUGAAUGCCAAAGUUUGUCUCCCUCUUUAGUUGUAUUGUUUGAUUUUCAUCUUUGUCACUUCGCACUCUCUUUCAUUAUAUUAACACGCUCAUCAUUAAAGGGGUAUUAAGCCAAUUUGAAAGGAUAUAGUAAUGCAAACAAUGAAAGAAAUUAGUAAUAUGAUUUGUUGCUAAAUUGCAUUCCUUUUAAUGGAAAAGAAGUUUUUAAAAUUCUUUUAGUGAAAAGCAUAAAGUUGUGCAACUUAAUGGACAAGUAAAGCCAAAAUGAAAAUAAUAUUUUAUAUUGAUGAAGAUCAACAUUGCUUAGACAUACUCAAGAGAUUACUUAUACUGAAUUGGAAUUAUUGGUUUCAUUAGUUGAGCAUAGUUUCUUAUGGGAUUUGAAGUGGUAGAGUGGUAGUUGCCAAAUGAGGCCUGCUGGAUUUGGCAAUAGUAAGCAUUUAGCUAGGAAGGAUACAAUAACCAGUUAAUCAGUUAUCGUCUUGUCCUCUUCCAAGAUACAAUAAGAACAAUAUUUAAAAAGUUAAAAAAAUUAUUUUCAAUAUUUUAUAUAUAUGGAUUUAUGGGUAGAAAGCUGGAUAUUUGAGAUAGGAAAUGGCUUAUGGAAGAAAAAUCCUCCUUUGGAGUUGGUGGAAGGAGUUGCACAUAAGCCAUUUUCCAAGGUUAAUGAGGGAAGAGGGAGAUGUGUAUUUGUAUUUGGUGUUAACGAAACAAGAGCUGUAUUAGGAAUUCUUAAAUUUACUACAGCACAUCAACCCAUUUACAUACCCUCAUAGGUUUUCAUAGCUUGCUGAAAAGAUAUUAUUAUGGAAUACUCUUUUAAGCGUAUGACUUUGAUUUCUAGUGUGCACUCUGCACAAGUCUUGCACUUUUUUUUUUCUUUUUUGAUAAUCUGCACAAGUCUUACAUUAAUGUCAACAAAAUAUAAGCAAUAUUGGGAACUUAAGAAAAUGACAAGGUAAACUAAGUAAUAGAAUUAAUUAUUAAAAUUCGUGCAACGCUCAAACCUAGGACUAAUGGGUUUACAAAAUUUGGUGUUAAGGAAGAAAUAGUAAAGUAUCAUAAAAUGGUGUAAUCCUUUUCUCCUUUUUUUUUGGAAUAUAUUAGUAUGGAUUAGAAAUCUGUCAUUUCCUUUAAAUUUGGUGGGGAUUAUAUGUGGUUGGAGGAGAUUCCAGCCUCCAAUGUAUAGUUAUUUGUAAUUAUUAAUAAUUUUCUGUUAUCUCUAUAUUAAAAAAGAAUAAGAAUGAAAGAAGUUUUUGUAAAAUUUUACACUUAACAAAUUACUUCACUACUGUGUGAAACUAACUUAUCUUACCUUUGUAAGUUUGGAACAAUAAUUCUUUCAUAAAUUACCCUUUUUCUUUAUUUUUUUUUUAUAAAUUAUUUUUGGAAAUAAGAACACAAUAGUAGCCAUUGAUAUGGGUGUAUUGAGAAGAAUGGCAAAGUGGAACUCAUGAUACAUGAAUGCUGAUUUGGAUUGCAUACUAGAUGCUCUCUUUUGUUUUUAUUUUUUGUGUACUGUUGUGACACUUGUCAAAAUUCUUUGUUUUUAACAGAUAUGGUUAUAGGGCAAGAUGGACUUCUGCUUAUGUCAACACUCUCCAUUGUGAAAUUCUCAGUUCUUGUGAACAGACCCCCAACUGGCAUCUUCAGCAUGAUAGGGGUUUGACUAAAGGGGAUUGUAGGAGCAACAUAAGGCAUCUAAUUUAG
rnacentral:sRNA from 1 species